AAUUCGACUAAAAAAUAGAUUUUGAUAUCUAUAUUUAUGACACACGCACACACAAAUGCGCAUGACUCGCAUGUUUUGAAGAAGAGGAUGAUGAGUUAAUUAAAAUAAGCUACGUAUAUAUAGAAUGUAUAAUUGAUUUGAAAUAUUUAUAAUUUUUGUAAAAUAUAUGCAUACAUAAUUGAUUUCUUUUUUAGAAAACAUAUUAAAAAAUUAACAUACAUUCAAUUAUCAUUUGUGCAGGGAUGAAAAUUAACCUUGCAUAUCAAAAGAAUGAACUCAAAAGAGAAAGGUUAAACACAUGCAAAGAUUACAUAAAUGCUCUAAAGUGUUGGAUUUAGGAAGCAGAUUCUAAGAUAAGAGCACAUUUACUGACCAAGCAAUUAGGACAGAGUUUUUCACAGCUUGAGACUGGCCAGUUUCCAUGGUAAUCUUGAUAUCUGAUAUGUUGGGAUGGUCAAUCCUGUAUCUAUUUUACGCGUCCAGCAUUCUAGCUAAUCUCGGAGUUUUACUGAGGAAUAACGUGAAACAAGGCAACUGAAAAAGGAAAACUUAUUCCGGGGAAUCGUUUUUAUUGUGAAUUCAGAUUAAAGUAAUACGUCCUGGCAUACGUAUACAGAAAUGAGCUGCUCGAGCAAACCGAUUAUGUGCAGACGCAACACACAAUGAGAUAAACAAUGUUAUCAAAGAGUGGUUCCGGUACGCAUGUGACCGUGAAGGAGGUCGAAAAGAAA